rnacentral:rRNA from 1 species
CCUACGGGUUGCAGCAGUGGGGAAUAUUGCACAAUGGGCGCAAGCCUGAUGCAGCCAUGCCGCGUGUAUGAAGAAGGCCUUCGGGUUGUAAAGUAUUUUCAGCGAGGAGGAAGGCAUUAAGGUUAAUAACCUUGGUGAUUGACGUUACUCGCAGAAGAAGCACCGGCUAACUCCGUGCCAGCAGCCGCGGUAAUACGGAGGGUGCAAGCGUUAAUCGGAAUUACUGGGCGUAAAGCGCACGCAGGCGGUUUGUUAAGUCGGAUGCGAAAUCCCCGGGCUCAGCCUGGGAACUGCAUUCGAAACUGGCAAGCUUGAGUCUUGUAGAGGGGGGUAGAAUUCCAGGUGUAGCGGUAAAAUGCGUAGAGAUCUGGAGGAAUACCGGUGGCGAAGGCGGCCCCCUGGACAAAGACUGACGCUCAGGUGCGAAAGCGUGGGGAGCAAACAGGAUUAGAUACCCGAGUAGUC